UACAGAGGUCUCAAGCGUUGUUCGGAUUCAUCGGGCGUAAAGGGUGCGUAGGCGGCGCGGUAAGUCGGGUGUGAAAUCUUGGAGCUUAACUCCGAAACUGCAUUCGAUACUGCCGUGCUUGAGGACUGGAGAGGAGACUGGAAUUUACGGUGUAGCGGUGAAAUGCGUAGAUAUCGUAAGGAAGACCAGUGGCGAAGGCGGGUCUCUGGACAGUUCCUGACGCUGAGGCACGAAGGUCAGGGGAGCAAACGGG
rnacentral:rRNA from 1 species